UAUUAUCAUUAUUGUUAUGUAGUUGAAUAAAACAAAUCAGCAAUAUGUUUAGUAUAGCUUUAUUUCAAUAUUUGAUAGUAUUUAUAUGGACGUCAUCACGUGACGUAAAUAAGUGAAUCAGUUUUUCGAAUGAACUGUGCAAAAAGGAACCAUUUCACGGAAAAGGAUCGAACUUCACAGUACUAAAUAUAAUGCCUGCGUCCCAGUGUUCAUACUGUCCAUCCUAAAUUCUAUGUGAUAUUAGUAAUUUUCAAUACUAUUUAGAGCAGAUAGGGUGGAUAGUAUGCACAUUGGGACGCAGGGAAUGAAUCAUUCUUUAGGAAAUGGUUCUCUUCAGUGAAUCGAUCAAACGGCUCGGCAACCGGUUUGAAUCGUUUCGCUAUUCAGGGUGAUUUAACUGAGACGGUUCACUUCAUAUUUUUGAAGCGGUUUCUCAGUCGGCAAACGUAGUAGAAAACUUCGAGAAAGACAAAAAAAGCAUAUAAAAAGCAUACUGAACUCUAUACAAUCUUCUUGAACGCAAACCUGCAAGUUCGUCCUUUAGUUUUUCCAGCGAUGAAGAUUCAUUAUGACCAACACGUGCACGUGCGUCCCGAGAACCCCUCUUACUGCAGAUCAGAUCACCUGGGAAGGAUGUCAGUACUAGAUAUAAACAAGGCCUAAAUCAGCACGAGAGAGAGAAACAUACGUUUUUGUAUCUGACAGAUGUUUUCAUACGCCCUGAUCCCUAAUCCAAUCUUCUCUUCAGUACCUCUUCCUCACCCCAAAUUUUUGUCUCGGCUCAUCUCUCAGAAUCACAUCCACACAUGGCCGAUCCCCAUCAUUAUCCAAUCACAUCCAUCCACCGCCCUCCGUGUCAACGGCAAUACAAUCAGCACCAUAUGGUAGCCACAUUCGCGAGACCCCCGCACUUCCUGAUCGCUUCCUUUCGGGAGGCGGCGCUGAGCAGAAGUGAGGGGAGAUGUAAUCAGACGUUUGGCAGAAUCUGCAGCAAUCAGGCACGCCAUCAGACGCUUUCUGGUCCUUGGCCACCAGGGCUUAAGGGUAUCUGGGGUGUGUGCGGGUAACAUCAAAGUUCCUGGAUAAGAGAAAGAGUUGGAGAGAGAGGAGAUUACAUGGAUUAGGACGGAGGGGGAAGGAAUAAUGUAAUUAAACACUUGUCGAGAUUUUAUUCCACCCUGUAGACAUGAGAGAGACUCUGUAGGGGCUGAUAUGCUGAUUAUAACUCACACUGCUCCAAAUUUGUUGACAGAAUACCGUGUGUUGGGCAUUUGCCCUGGGAGCGACUCUUAAUGCCGUCAUAUUAGAAAGAAAGAUGGAGUGUUAUAGUGGCAUAAAUGUAGCGAGACAAAGAAAUUGCAUUCCUUCUGAGUUGCGCACACAAUUUCUGUCUUUCAGCACCCUCUGUAAUGUUAAUGGCCGCCCGUCUGUUGGACGCUACCUUUGUGUUCCAGCUCAAGCGAGGAUGUGAUGUCAUCGGGGCUUUUGUGUGUCUAAUCCAGUGCAAACAUUAGAUGUCUACAGUGCUGAUGUAUGAGUGUGCAUAGUACAGAAACUCAAGUAUGCAGAGCAAAUGCAUCUCACAUACAAUGGCGCUCAUUGAUCAGCUGGAAAGAACCAUAUAUUAUAGAUUUUUUUUUUUUAAUACAGUCUUUGCUUAGCAGCUCUGUAUUGAAAGUCUUCUGCUACUCUUUAUCUACAUACAGCCUCCAUUCAAGCUUUAUUUUGCUGAUAAGUUCCUAGAUGGUUUAUCUGUUUUCAUAAUUUGUUGCAGACCCUGG
ensembl:lncRNA